UACGAGGGGGGCGAGCGUUGUUCGGAAUUAUUGGGCGUAAAGGGUGCGUAGGCGGUUCCGCAAGUCCUGUGUGAAAUCUUCGGGCUCAACUCGAAGUCUGCACGGGAAACUGCGGGGCUUGAGUGUGGGAGAGGUGAGUGGAAUUCCCGGUGUAGCGGUGAAAUGCGUAGAUAUCGUGAGGAACACCAGAGGCGAAGGCGGCUACCUGGACAAUUGCUGACGCUCAGGCACGAAAGCGUGGGGAGCAAAAGGG
rnacentral:rRNA from 1 species